rnacentral:sRNA from 18 species
GUCAACUACCCACACUUCCCUAACGGGUCAGUAUGGGCUUGAAAAAGCCAGAUUUGAACGCAAGAGAUGACUAGCCUAUGAGACUUGUUUUGCUAGGGACUUCCGAAUAUUUGCCUAGUUCGGAUUAUCUCCA